rnacentral:rRNA from 1 species
AACGAACGCUGGCGGCAUGCCUCAUACAUGCAAGUCGAACGCAUGGUUUCGGCCAUGAGUGGCGCACGGGUGAGUAGCGCGUGGGAACCUGCCCUGUUGUGGGGGAUAACCGAUGGAAACGUCGGCUAAUACCGCAUGCGCCCGGGCAACCGGGGAAAGAUUUAUCGCAGCAGGAGGGGCCCGCGUCGGAUUAGCUAGUUGGUGGGGUAACGGCCUACCAAGGCGAUGAUCCGUAGCUGGUCUGAGAGGAUGAUCAGCCACACUGGGACU